rnacentral:sRNA from 1 species
GCUGGGCAUAGUGGUGUGUGUCUGUAGCCUAGGCUACUCAGAAGGUUGAGGCAGAAGGAUCAUUUGAAUCCAGAAAUUCAAGGUCAGCCUAGGCAACAUAGUGAGAACCUUCCUCUU